GACGUAGGAGGCGAGCGUUAUCCGGAUUCACUGGGCGUAAAGCGCAUGUAGGCGGUUCGAUAAGUCCGCUGUUAAAGCCCCCGGCUCAACUGGGGGAGGUCAGUGGAGACUAUAGGACUUGAGGGCAACAGAGGCACGUGGAACUCCCGGUGUAGCGGUGGAAUGCGUAGAGAUCGGGAAGAACACCAGUGGCGAAGGCGACGUGCUGGGUUGCGACUGACGCUGAGGAGCGAAAGCGUGGGGAGCGAACAGG
rnacentral:rRNA from 1 species